UACGAAGGUGACAAGCGUUGUCCGGAUUUACUGGGCGUAAAGAGCGCGCAGGCGGUCGUUCAAGUCGAGUGUGAAAGCCCCCGGCUCAACUGGGGAGGGUCACUCGAUACUGAUCGACUCGAAGGCAGGAGAGGGUAGUGGAAUUCCCGGUGUAGUGGUGAAAUGCGUAGAUAUCGGGAGGAACACCAGUGGCGAAGGCGACUACCUGGCCUGUUCUUGACGCUGAGGCGCGAAAGCUAGGGGAGCAAACGGG
rnacentral:rRNA from 1 species